AGUUGCAAGAGUUGCACUUGCAACUCUCAAGAGUUGCAUGGUCGCCCACUGAAGCUAAGCAGGGCUGCGCCCGGUCAGUACCUGGAUGGGAGACCACAUGGGAAAGCUAGGUUGCUGCCG
rnacentral:rRNA from 1 species